rnacentral:rRNA from 1 species
UCGGAGAGUUUGAUCCUGGCUCAGGACGAACGCUGGCGGCGUGCCUAAUACAUGCAAGUCGAGCGGACAGAAGGGAGCUUGCUCCCGGAUGUUAGCGGCGGACGGGUGAGUAACACGUGGGUAACCUGCCUGUAAGACUGGGAUAACUCCGGGAAACCGGAGCUAAUACCGGAUAGUUCCUUGAACCGCAUGGUUCAAGGAUGAAAGACGGUUUCGGCUGUCACUUACAGAUGGACCCGCGGCGCAUUAGCUAGUUGGUGGGGUAAUGGCUCACCAAGGCGACGAUGCGUAGCCGACCUGAGAGGGUGAUCGGCCACACUGGGACUGAGACACGGCCCAGACUCCUACGGGAGGCAGCAGUAGGGAAUCUUCCGCAAUGGACGAAAGUCUGACGGAGCAACGCCGCGUGAGUGAUGAAGGUUUUCGGAUCGUAAAGCUCUGUUGUUAGGGAAGAACAAGUGCGAGAGUAACUGCUCGCACCUUGACGGUACCUAACCAGAAAGCCACGGCUAACUACGUGCCAGCAGCCGCGGUAAUACGUAGGUGGCAAGCGUUGUCCGGAAUUAUUGGGCGUAAAGGGCUCGCAGGCGGUUUCUUAAGUCUGAUGUGAAAGCCCCCGGCUCAACCGGGGAGGGUCAUUGGAAACUGGGAAACUUGAGUGCAGAAGAGGAGAGUGGAAUUCCACGUGUAGCGGUGAAAUGCGUAGAGAUGUGGAGGAACACCAGUGGCGAAGGCGACUCUCUGGUCUGUAACUGACGCUGAGGAGCGAAAGCGUGGGGAGCGAACAGGAUUAGAU